rnacentral:rRNA from 1 species
UACGAAGGGGGCUAGCGUUGCUCGGAAUUACUGGGCGUAAAGCGCGUGUAGGCGGGUCGUUAAGAUGGGGGUGAAAUCCCGGAGCUCAACUCCGGAACUGCCUUCAUGACUGGCGGCCUGGACUCAAGGAGAGGCAAGUGGAAUUGCGAGUGUAGAGGUGAAAUUCGUAGAUAUUCGCAGGAACACCAGUGGUGAAGGCGACUUGCUGGACUUGUAGUGACGCUGAGACGCGAAAGCGUGGGGAGCAAACAGG